GUUAAGUAUUUUUAGAACAACUAAAGAAAAUCUAACUAUUCUUUACAAAUCCAAUAAAAACUAACUGUAAAGACAGUGAAAAUACAACAUUUCUGCAUUUGACAAUUGUGGCUAAGAGAGAGCUGAGCAUGAUUUACCGGUCCAUCUAUGUUCAUACCCUCUCCUAUAGUCAUAGGCUCUGAGUAGUGUCCAUAAGAAUGAAAUUGCGGAUAUAAGCAGCAGAAAUGAGCUUUCCCCGAAAAGGUGGCUGACCUCUCCCCUAGACUGAGGAAUUCAGUCAUCUGAGAGGCGCUAAGAGUAGAGCUGUUAGUCCUCCACACUGAUAGAAGCCAAUUGAGGUAGUUCAGACACCGAACAACGAUGCCUCCUGGGUAAGGUGUUUUUGGCAUGUCCCACCAGGGGGAGACUCAGGACAUGCUGGAGAGAUUGCAUCUCACAGCUGGCCCGGGAAUACCUCAGUGUUCCCCUGGAUAAGCUUGAAGAGGUGGCUGUGGAAGGUUUAGGUGUCCUUGUGUAGGCUGCUGCUCCCACAACCUACGGUGGCUGGGAAGUGCAAAGCGCAACAAAUUAAAAAACGGCAACAAAUUAAAAAUCUACAACAAAUUAAAAAACCGCAACAAAUUAAAAAUCCACAACAAAUUAAAAAACCGCAACAAAUUAAAAAACCGCAACAAAUUAAAAAUCCACAACAAAUUAAAAAACCGCAACAAAUUAAAAAUCCACAACAAAUUAAAAAACCGCAACAAAUUAAAAAACCACAACAAAUUAAAAAUCCGCAACAAAUUAAAAAUCCACAACAAAUUAAAAAACCACAACAAAUUAAAAAUCCACAACAAAUUAAAAAACCGCAACAAAUUAAAAAACCGCAACAAAUUAAAAAUCCACAACAAAUUAAAAAACCGCAACAAAUUAAAAAUCCUUGACGGAAAGGGAUUGUCUGAAAUACCGGAAGUCGAGAGUGAUGUCACGAGAGGGGGCGUGGCCAGGAUUUUUGGUUGAGGCGCCAUGUUUCUGGGCCGAACAAAGCGCUAGCGAAAGAGGAGCGAAAGUACACGGAUAACACCAGCUAUGGUUCGUACUUGCUGUGCGGUCGGUUGUAAAGUUAGAUCGCACGACCGGUGUUGUGCCAAAAAGUGAUUGUCUGCCAAAAACUGAUUGCCGGUAUUUGCCAAAAAGCGAUUGCUCAUAUUUAAAGUGCUAUAAGUAACUUGUUGGGCUAUAAUAUGUUAAACAUAUGUCAAAUGCAUCCCUUAUGGAUGACAUAAAGUUAUCUUGAGCCACAAACAACAUUCGUGUAGCAAGAUACAAGCCGCAAUCAGUUUUUGGCAGCGACUUUUAUAUAACCUUUAUUUAUGCAGUAAAAAA
ensembl:lncRNA